GUUUUCCUUUAAAUUAUUAUGAUGAUUUGUACUCUUAUUAUCUGAACCUAAAUUUUAAAAGAUGUGGUUUUAAAAACAAACCACUUAUUCAAACAACUGUCAUGCAAUGCUGGUGCUGAAUUAAACAUCCAACACACCAGUAACCUCACUUAACUGAAGCGUCUUCAAUUUCACCCUCAUAUUUUGAGGGUAAAUUACCAUAAAAUAUAUACUUAAUGCAUUUCAAAAGAAUAAUACAAUUAAAUCGUAUAUUUAAAUAAAAUAAUAAUUAAAAGUACAACAAACUAAAGAGUCAACACUUCUUUAAAAAAAAACAACUCUUCAUUCAAAAUUCAACUCGUGCAACGUAAUCCUGAAACGAAUCCGGUUGCAUCAUUAAUGAAUAAAGUCCUAUUUGCAUCAGCAAUUCAUUUCCCGGGAAGAAGAAAAACAGAAAAGGGAGGAAAAAAACAGAAUGCAUAGAAAGGGGAGGGAAAACCAAAAUGUUGCUGCAAAUCCUCCCAACCACCACUUGGAUAAUUCAUCAGCGGCAAUUUCUCCAGCGGGAAAGGGAGGGGGCAAGGUCCCUGAAGCAGCCCCUCGGCUUGGAGCACGCCAAGUCUUGCCCGGAGGAGGCUUUUCGUUUCUCCCUCCGAGGUCUUUCUUUUUUAAGGCUUUGCAGUUAGUCCUAUUUUCAACAGAUUCCGGUGAAAACUCUUCAUUUUCCUCCCGGCUUCUCCCAGGGGCCUGACCGGCUGCGCGGCCGGGGGUGGAAGGCGGUGGUCGCUUGUGGGCCGCGCCGCGCGGGGCAGAGAGCCCGGUCUCCCCUACACCCGCACCGCGGCCGCCGCUCCGGAGGCUCCCGACGCCCCAGGCGAGGGGGGGUGCUCUUCUGAAUUCAAAGGACACGGGCGGCCGCAGCUGCGGUGGCGGCGCGGGCGGCUCCGGCAGCUACUUCUCCCCCUUCUUCACACCCCUGGGCUAAGGGCAUCUUUCCUCAGCGAGGAAGGAGGCGGCCGAGGCGCUGGAGGAGGGGUCGCCGCCGCGGCUGAGGAGACCAGAGACUGCCGCAGCCCAGCUCCCAACCACUCCCUUCCUCUCUCUCUUAAACCUCCCCCGCCUUCCCUCUCCUCUCGCGCUCGCGCCCUCGGCUCCGCGAGGCUCCUCCAGUCCCGCCGCACGCAGGCGGAGGCUCGCGGACUAGUCCGAAUCCAAUAUGGCGGCCUGGCCCCCCGGCCCCGGCACACGCGCGCGCACACGCCCUCCCCGCCCCCGCCCCCGCCCCCGCCCCCGCCCCCGCUAUGCCGGAGCCCCAGUCCCAGCCGGCGGCCAAGCCGGGCGGGGUCCGAACGGCGCGCCCAGUGGAGGCCCCCGAGGGGGCGCAGGCCCGGGGCGCAAGCGGCUGCGCCAGCCGGAGGGGAAGGGUGGGGACCGCCUUCGCGGCUAGGCUGCGGCUGCCGCAACGUGGAAUGCGGAGCUGCGGGAGGGCUGGAGGAGGCCCGGGCGGCGGUGGCGGAGCAUAUGGAGGCGGGAUGACCGGGCCGCGCCGGGCGCUGCCGCAGGACGGGGAGUAGGCUGGGAACUGAGCCACCGCCGCGCCGUGGCCGCGGCUCCCCGACGCUUCUCGUGCAGAUCGCAAAGCGGGGUUCCUGCCUCGUCCUCGGAGACAUCACCUGUCCGGCGCGUUUGCUAAGGGCGCCCAGAGCAGCGGGCUUUAGGCUUCUGACAGAGCUGGAGGAGACGGGCCCGUCUUUCCGCCCCUUACCUGCUCCCCACCCGCCCUCCAGAUUCGUUUCGCGCACACUCCACAGAGUAAUCAUUUUUUAGGUGUCUGAUAACAGCACUUCGUGUGUCAUUUCCCGGGACAAAAACAAUGACAGACUUAUCCGCGCUACCAUCGAAGUCUUGUGUCUGCAUGCAAAGGAUGGAAUCCCCCAUCUCCAUUCCCAAAAGUUUCCCUACGGGAGCCUGGUGCUUUCUCCUCCGGAACUGUUCUAGGGACUGCCUGUUUUUCCCUAGCCAUGGUUAACCGCCUCCGGUGGAUUCAGCCUGUGAAGGCAGUUAAGGCAGUUCACCACUAUUAUCAACCCUACACCUCGUGUGCACGCGCGCACACACUUGUAACCCAGUGGCACAAUGCAGGAAUUAGGGCAGCAAAGGCAAAUCACUGAAUAGCUAGGGCACCUCAUGCCUUUAGGGUCUUACCGGGUUUUUGUGAAUCUCGGUUUUAGGAGAGCUCCCUUAAUAAAAUUCUCAUGGAAGAUGCCACAUUUAAAUUAAUACCACCAAACUGGGUCAUUGCAGUUCGGUUACUUCCUUUCAAAAUUGCCAUCUCCUUUAUGGUCCUUCUCCAAAAUACAAUUAUUUUAUAUUCUUUUCCCACACCUGUGAGACAGGUUUCUGUGUUAAUGCCCACAAUUGCAUCUUACAUCUUGAUAAUAUGGAAGCUGAGGGAGAAUAGAAAUGAAGGCCUAGAUGUAAAGUCUAAAAAUGAAGGCUAACAGAAGACGAUUCAAGUUGGGAUUCACAAAAUAUUGUGAAUCUUUUAUGAAAUCUACACUUGCAAAGUGUACACUUGCCUGGCUUAAGAACAGCAUUAUUUUGAAUUCGGUCUUGACAUGAGUGAUACAUAGAUUCAAACAAAAGGUCAAUCAUUUCCAGCCAUGACAUCUUUAUAGGGGUAUGUGCUGUCUAAUUCUAAAAGUAGUAGAAAAGCAAAAAGAAAAGUUUAAUCCUAAAACAGAUAAUAAGCAAUAUUUUGGUGUUUAUUAAAGUCUUUUUCCUAUGCACUUUAACAAAAAUGAUACAUAAUAAAAGACAGUUUUAUAGCCUCUUGCUUGCAGUUAGCAAUAUAUUAUGGACAUUUUUUUUUUUUUUUUUUUUUUUUUUUUGAGACGGAGUUUCGCUCUUGUUGCCGAGGCUGGAGUGCAAUGGCGCAAUCUCGGCUCACCGCAACCUCCGCCCCCUGCGUUCAGGCAAUUCUCCUGCCUCAGCCUCCUGAGUAGCUGGGAUUACAGGCACACGCCACCGUGCCCAGCUAAUUUUUUGUAGUUUUUAGUAGAGACGGGGUUUCACCAUGUUGACCAGGAUGGUCUCGAUUUGCCGACCUCGUGAUCCACCCACCUCAGCCUCCCAAAGUGCUAGGACUAAAAGCUUGAGCCACCGCACCCGGCCUAUUAUGGACAUUUUUUUAACUCAACAAAUAUUCUUCAACAAUAUGGAUUUUAAUGGUGAAGCCAAUGUUAACAGUUUCAUUUGACUAUAAGAUGCAGUGGCAAAAAGGAAGAAAUUUCUGCUUUUUCAAGUACAGUAAACUAAAGAACUGGCUCCAAGAUAUCUACUUUUCCAACUUACAAAUAACUAGAAAGAAGUUUAAAAGAGAAUGUUAGGUCUCAAUAAAUGCUAAUUAACAAUGGAAGAAUAUGAGAUUUUUUUUAACAAAAGAGUCAAGCUGCCAGUUCUCUACCUAUUCUAUUAGCACUUGGGUACCACCCACAGUCCAGUGUAUUGAUAGUUGCUAAAUAACCCUUUCCACAUUAUUUAGAAAGUAGAGAGGAGAAUUUAUUUUUAUUAAAAACACACACACACACACAAAGAGAAGGAAGGAGGUUGAACUCAAUCAAUUUUGCUUGAAUAAUUCAAGCCCAGAGACUUAAUAAUUAACUAGACACUAAACACAUUGUGCGGGUGUUAUUUUAAAUGUUCCGGUUGAAGUGUGAACCAG
ensembl:lncRNA